GCAAAUGUCCCUUCACAGCCGCCGUAAGCCGCGAGGCUCAGGAGCGUGUUACUAUUGGCUGGGUGUGUUUGGCGCCAAAGCGGAGGCGGAGGCGAUUAUCUGCGGCUGUGGGACUGGGAACCACAGUACCUUAGAGAGGGGGCCGUGAACCCAGCGACCGUUUGGCGUGAGAGCGGUCGGUUUAGGAAGCUGCAGGGCCGGGGCGCGUCCGACAUGUUCUGCGAAAAGGCCAUGGAGCUGGUCCGCGAGCUGCACCGCGCGCCAGAAGGGCAGCUGCCAGUCUUCAAUGAGGAUGGACUCAGGCAAGUUCUGGAAGAGAUGAAAGCUUUGUAUGAACAAAACCAGUCUGAUGUGAAUGAAGUGAAAUCAGGUGGACAAAGUGAUUUGAUACCAACCAUCAAAUUUCGACACUGUUCCUUGUUAAGAAAUCGACGCUGUGCUGUAGCAUACCUGUAUGAUCGACUGCUUCGGAUCAGAGCACUCAGGUGGGAGUAUGGCAGCGUCUUGCCAAAUGCUUUACGGUUUCACAUGUCUGCUGAAGAAAUGGAGUGGUUCAAUCAUUAUAAAAAGUCCCUUGCUACUUAUAUGAGGUCACUGGGAGGAGAUGGAGGUUUGGACAUCACACAAGAUAUGAAACCUCCAAAAAGCCUAUAUAUAGAAGUGCGGUGUCUAAAAGACUAUGGAGAAUUUGAAGUUGAUGAUGGUACUUCAGUCCUAUUAAAAAAAAAUAGCCAGGACCCAGCAGGAAGCUCUGAUUCACAAGAGCAAAGCUAUCCUCAUAAAGCAAGACAGGAGAAAACUGCAUCUCCAGCACCGUCCUGUUUGAAUUUCUUUCUCAAGCUCUGUGGCUGAUCUCCCCACCUAGUGUGCUGAGACGGUGAUUUUUCACUGGAGUGCCCAGGUGGGCCUGGGGCAGUUGGAAACCAGCUGAGUCCCUCUUCCUGCUCCCCACUAAACAAUUGUCACUCUCUGUGUGGACCAUGCAGAAGCCUUUCCCUUGAGAUGCUUUUGACUUGUCUCUCAGUAUUGCCCUACCCUCAGCACUUCUUACCUAGGUGGAAGUGUGAGCAGCUGGUCAGACAGGGCAUUCUGGAGCAUGUGCUGUCCUGACAUUGGGCUGAGGUGCUGCCAGGCUUUUCCCCAUGGUGUGAGGCAGAGCCAAGACACGGAAAGUUCUACAUGUCCUUCUCCACCUUCCCCUGUUUGGUUUUAAAAGUUACAGACAUUCAUGAAGAUAAACAGGAAUAUCUGGCUGAGGAGUAUCCUUUUGUACAGGAUUCUUCUUCCUCUUUGUAAUAAGCUGUAUCUAUAAUCCUAACAUUCCUGUAGUUAUUAAAGUGUGUUUUUUAACAAUUUUUUAAUGAAAGUAAUGAAAAUGAAAUGUAAUGCAAAAGUAAUGAAAGUAUUUGAAUUUCUUAGUUUUUCCCCCAAUAGUAAUGAUUAUUUUCAUUAAUGAACAUCUCUGAUGUUGCCCACAGUACAGUAUACUAAGUCAUAAAACAUAAAGUACAAAUCCAAGGAAGGUAGUAAUACCUUUCCUAAGUUACAAAACUUUGGCAAAUUAAUACAGUAUCCUUUAAUACAAUAAAAUCCUUUUUUGUUGUUGUUGGA